rnacentral:rRNA from 1 species
UACGUAGGGGGCAAGCGUUGUCCGGAAUCAUUGGGCGUAAAGCGCGUGUAGGCGGCCAUGUAAGUCCGUUCUGAAAACCCGGGGCUCAACCCCGGGCCUGCAUUCGAUACGGGCAGACUAGAGUUCGGUAGGGGAGUCUGGAAUUCCUGGUGUAGCGGUGAAAUGCGCAGAUAUCAGGAGGAACACCGGUGGCGAAGGCGGGACUCUGGGCCGAUACUGACGCUGAGGAGCGAAAGCGUGGGGAGCAAACAGG